rnacentral:rRNA from 1 species
AGUGAACGCUGGCGGUAGGCCUAACACAUGCAAGUCGAACGGCAGCACAGUAAGAGCUUGCUCUUACGGGUGGCGAGUGGCGGACGGGUGAGGAAUACAUCGGAAUCUACUUUUUCGUGGGGGAUAACGUAGGGAAACAUACGCUAAUACCGCAUACGACCUACGGGGGAAAGCAGGGGAUCUUCGGACCUUGCGCGAGUGAAGGAGCCCAUGUCGGAUUAGCUAGUUGGCGGGGUAAAGGCCCACCAAGGCGACGAUCCGUAGCUGGUCUGAGAGGAUGAUCAGCCACACUGGAACUGAGACACGGUCCAGACUCCUACGGGAGGCAGCAGUGGGGAAUAUUGGACAAUGGGCGCAAGCCUGAUCCAGCCAUACCGCGUGGGUGAAGAAGGCCUUCGGGUUGUAAAGCCCUUUUGUUGGGAAAGAAAAGCAGCAGGUUAAUACCCCGCUGUUCUGACGGUACCCAAAGAAUAAGCACCGGCUAACUUCGUG